GCGGUAUCCUAACCGUGCAAAGGUAGCAUAAUCACUUGUCCCCUAAAUAGGGACCCGUAUGAACGGCCAAAUAAGGACACACCUGUCUCCUGCGACUAAUCAAUGAAACUGAUCUCCCAGUACAAAAGCUGGAAUAAACCCACAAGACGAGAAGACCCCGUGGAGCUUCAAACACACUGCUAACCAACCCCCCAAAAUCAAAAGACCCACCAAAAAACCAGACCAUAGCAAAAGUUUUAAGUUGGGGCGACUACGGAGAAAAACUAAACCUCCAUGAACCACGGCUAACACCUACCCAAGGCCAACAAGCCAACAAUCACACAAACUGACCCAGCACAACGCUGACCACCGAACCAAGUUACCCCGGGGAUAACAGCGCCAUCCUCUUCAAGAGCCCAUAUCACCAAGAGGGUUUACGACCUCGAUGUUGGAUCAGGACACCCCAGUGGUGCAGCCGCUACUAAAGGUGCGUUUGUUCAACGCUUAAAGUCCUACGUGAUCU
rnacentral:rRNA from 1 species